GACGAACGCUGGCGGCGUGCCUAACACAUGCAAGUCGAGCGAGAGACUUCGGUCUCUAGCGGCGGACGGGUGAGUAACACGUGGGUAACCUGCCUCAUAGAGGGGGAUAGCCUUCCGAAAGGAAGAUUAAUACCGCAUAUACUCUCGAUACCACAUGGUAUUUAGAGGAAAGGAGCAAUCCGCUAUGAGAUGGACCCGCGGCGCAUUAGCUAGUUGGUGAGGUAACGGCUCACCAAGGCGACGAUGCGUAGCCGACCUGAGAGGGUGAUCGGCCACAUUGGAACUGAGACACGGUCCAGACUCCUACGGGAGGCAGCAGUGGGGAAUAUUGCACAAUGGGCGAAAGCCUGAUGCAGCAACGCCGCGUGAGUGAUGACGGCCUUCGGGUUGUAAAGCUCUGUCUUUUGGGACGAUAAUGACGGUACCAAAGGAGGAAGCCACGGCUAACUACGUGCCAGCCGCCGCGGUAAAAC
rnacentral:rRNA from 1 species